UGGGGAAUAUUGCGCAAUGGGGGCAACCCUGACGCAGCAACGCCGCGUGCAGGAAGAAGGUCUUCGGAUUGUAAACUGUUGUCGCAAGGGAAGAAGACAGUGACGGUACCUUGUGAGAAAGUCACGGCUAACUACGUGCCAGCAGCCGCGGUAAUACGUAGGUGACAAGCGUUGUCCGGAUUUACUGGGUGUAAAGGGCGCGUAGGCGGACUGUCAAGUCAGUCGUGAAAUACCGAAGCUUAACUUCGGGGCUGCGAUUGAAACUGACAGCCUUGAGUAUCGGAGAGGAAAGCGGAAUUCCUAGUGUAGCGGUGAAAUGCGUAGAUAUUAGGAGGAACACCAGUGGCGAAGGCGGCUUUCUGGACGACAACUGACGCCGAGGCGCGAAAGUGUGGGGAGCAAACAGGAUUAGAUACCC
rnacentral:rRNA from 1 species